CCUACGGGAGGCAGCAGUGAGGAAUAUUGGUCAAUGGCCGCAAGGCUGAACCAGCCAAGUCGCGUGAAGGCAGACGGAUCUAUGGUUUGUAAACUUCUUUUAUAGGGGAAUAAAGGUAUCCACGGGUGGAUAUUUGCAUGUACCCUAUGAAUAAGCAUCGGCUAACUCCGGCCCAGCAGCCGCGGUAAUACGGAGGAUGCGAGCGUUAUCCGGAUUUAUUGGGUUUAAAGGGUGCGUAGGUUGUUUUUUAAGUCAGCGGGGAAAGUUUGUGGUUCAACCAUGAAAUUGCCGUUGAUACUGGAAGACUUGAGGGGAGUUGAGGUAGGCGGAAUGCGUGGUGUAGCGGUGAAAUGCAUAGAUAUCACGCAGAACUCCGAUUGCGAAGGCAGCUUACUAAGCCAUAACUGACACUGAAGCACGAAAGCGUGGGGAUCAAACAGGAUUAGAUACCCGGGUAGUC
rnacentral:rRNA from 1 species